AGUGCUGUCCAGAGCGCUUACAAUGGAGCACUCUGGGAUAGCUCCUGGAGGCUAAUAGCUUUUGAAUUGCGUCCACACUACCCCAAAUUCAACCCAGUGAGGUUGAUUUUAGUGCUAAACCCCUCGCCGGGGAGGGGUACAGAAAUCUAUUUUAAGAGCCUUUUUUAAGAUGACAAAACAGGCUUGGUCGUGUGGACAGGUGCAGGAUUAAAUUGAUCUAACGCUGCUAAAUUUGAUCUAAACUCUUAGUGUAGAUCAGGAAGUGAUUUGUUAUUCAGGGAGCUAAUCUGGAAUAGCUAUAGCAAAAUAGCUUAUUUCAUGAUAGUUACGCUGCUCCAGUUUUCCAUGUAGACAAAUCCCUAAAACUUAUUUUAUUCCCUCGUAAGGAAAAAACGAGAGAAUGCAAUCGUCAUAAUUUCAAAUAUUUAGGGGAGAGGUUCAUACACAACUAGAACAUGGUGGUGUACAGACAUCCAGAUGGAAACCCAAUCAUCUUCCUUGAGGAAUUCAUGGAGAGACUGCCCAGCAUGGCACUGGUAUCCCCAAAUUCCUUGUCAACCUCCAGUAUUCACACAGACUGCAAAGGAUACAGUAGUACUUUAUUAAAUGGCCUAUGUGGAAACCUUGAGUUUCUCCAUGUUUCUUGACCUAUAAGUGCAGCCAAACAGAUGCUGGAUCCUAUCUUCAGUCUAGGAGUGGAUAUUGGAAACAUCACCAAUGUAUCACUCCCUGGAGUUGGCCACUGCUUCAUCCAGGCAAAGAUCAGAGCCUUCCUUCCUUUGUGCCAGGGUAGGGAACAACCAAAGCUGGUCUUCCCCCACAAAACAUCCUGGACCCUUUAGGUUUUCAUUUUAUCCUAGGAGAACAAGCUGCCGAAAUAGAAUGCCAAAGUGCUGAUGAGUUAGUACAUCAAUACCAUCACCUUCUGUACAUUACUACUGAUGCCCUGGCCCUAAGCCAUCCACUUCCUGCAUGCUGAAAAGCCUUUCCGCUAUAAGAAUGACACUUUCAGCAUUAACAUCCUUGUCUAUCCAGAUAUUCACAACCAACAAAAAAAAAUGGAAUCAAAUCAAUCCAAAAACAAACACCCGCCCCAGCAGAAAGUGUACACAAAGUAAAUGUAAAAAAAAGUCCCAAGCAGAGUUUUGCCUGGAAAAAAGAAAAGUGUCAGACUCCAUGAAGUUCAUUAGGGACUUUGCUUUUGCUGUCAGUGUUAUGUGACAGGCACUCAAGAUAAUGCACUAAUGGGUGGCAAUAUAAAACCUUAAGGUAGAUAGCACAUCCUCAGAAUACAUACUUUGUAGAUCAAAAACCUAUAAAUAUUUCCCCUUUGAAAUGUUUUUGGAUGUCAAGGUGUUUUCAGUCAGGAAUAGAAAAGGGUUUAAGAAAUUAUCAUUGUUGGAAACUAGGUAGUAUUCUUGCUCAAUGAAGCUGAUACAGAAGAGGGGAAAUAGUGAUGGAAAAUAGUUUUGUCCUCUGAAAUGGCCAAGCUACAUUUCAAAAGUGAAAGGAAACUCGAAAUAAAUAAAUACACCUUCACUUGCAUUGCCCUCCAGAAUACCCCUGGGCUUGGGGUUGAAUAGUUAGAGGUCCUGAGUUCUAGGCUCACCUCAUACGUUGAAGAGGCAUAAUAAAUAUCUAAACUUCCUCACCUUUAUCACUUUUACCAGUAUUUGAAGUGAAAAUAGGCUGUGCCGCAUACAUAUGCGUUGUUGCAUUCACUAUGUACUGAGAUACUUUACUGGGUGCAGAUAGAACUGGGAGGAGCUGUGUUCUGAGCCA